rnacentral:lncRNA from 1 species
CCUCCUUCCAAAAGGUUUGGAGAGGAUUGAAGGGAAAUUUGGCUUGUAGGGGAGGAUUUCAUCCCCACAAUAAACUUUUCCUUGGCCGCUCAAAUUUAGUCCAGCCGCAGGGGGUCUGAGCAAAAAAAACAUGUUGCAUCUCGCUCACCUCACAAACUUCCUACCCACCUGACCCCGCUGUCAGCCAUUCCCCUCCCCCAAUGACUGGCGGAAUGAAUAGGGUGUCCUCCGCCACAUCCUUGGACACCAUCGUCGACGCCGGACACCC